UACGGAGGGUGCAAGCGUUAUCCGGAUUUACUGGGUUUAAAGGGUGUGUAGGCGGACUAUUAAGUCAGCGGUGAAAUCUCCGGGCUCAACCCGGAAACUGCCAUUGAUACUAUUAGUCUUGAAUGUUGUUGAGGUGGGCGGAACGGGUCAUGUAGCGGUGAAAUGCAUAGAUAUGACCCGGAACACCGAUUGCGAAGGCAGCCCACUAAGCAACGAUUGACGCUGAGGCACGAAAGCGUGGGGAUCAAACAG
rnacentral:rRNA from 1 species